UGGGGGCACGGCCCAUCAGGUAGUUGGCGGGUUAAAGGCCCGCCAAGCCGAUGACGGGUAGGGGCGGUGAGAGCCGCGAGCCCCGAGAUCGGCACUGAGACAAGGGCCGAGGCCCUACGGGGUGCAGCAGGCGCGAAUACUCCGCAAUGCGGGCAACCGCGACGGGGCUACCCCGAGUGCCGGGCGAAGAGCCCGGCUUUUGCCCGGUCUAAAAAGCCGGGAGAAUAAGCGGGGGGCAAGUCUGGUGUCAGCCGCCGCGGUAAUACCAGCUCCGCGAGUGGUCGGGGUGUUUACUGGGCUUAAAGCGCCCGUAGCCGGCCCGGCAAGUCGCUCCUGAAAUCCCCGGGCUCAACCCGGGGGCGGGGGGCGAUACUGCCGGGCUAGGGGGCGGGAGAGGCCGCCGGUACUCCGGGGGUAGGGGCGAAAUCCGUUAAUCCCCGGAGGACCACCAGUGGCGAAAGCGGGCGGCCAGAACGCGCCCGACGGUGAGGGGCGAAAGCCGGGGGAGCAAAGGGGAUUAGAUACCCCUGUAGUCCCGGCCGUAAACGAUGCGGGCUAGCUGUCGGCCGGGCUUAGGGCCCGGCCGGUGGCGAAGGGAAACCGUUAAGCCCGCCGCCUGGGGAGUACGGCCGCAAGGCUGAAACUUAAAGGAAUUGGCGGGGGGGCACCACAAGGGGUGAAGCUUGCGGCUUAAUUGGAGUCAACGCCGGA
rnacentral:rRNA from 1 species